CAUGCAAGUCGAACGGAAAGUGCCCAGCUUGCUGGGUGACUCGAGUGGCGAACGGGUGAGUAACACGUGGGUGAUCUGCCCUGCACUUUGGGAUAAGCCUGGGAAACUGGGUCUAAUGCCGAAUACACCCUGCUGGUCGCAUGGCCUGGUGGGGGAAAGCUUUUGCGGUGUGGGAUGGGCCCGCGGCCUGUCAGCUUGUUGGUGGGGUGAUGGCCUACCAAGGCGACGACGGGUAGCCGGCCUGAGAGGGUGUCCGGCCACACUGGGACUGAGAUACGGCCCAGACUCCUACGGGAGGCAGCAGUGGGGAAUAUUGCACAAUGGGCGCAAGCCUGAUGCAGCGACGCCGCGUGAGGGAUGACGGCCUUCGGGUUGUAAACCUCUUUCAAUAGGGACGAAGCGUGAGUGACGGUACCUAUAGAAGAAGCACCGGCCAACUACGUGCCAGCAGCCGCGGUAAUACGUAGGGUGCGAGCGUUGUCCGGAAUUACUGGGCGUAAAGAGCUCGUAGGUGGUUUGUCGCGUUGUUCGUGAAAACUCACA
rnacentral:rRNA from 1 species